rnacentral:rRNA from 1 species
GAUUUCUGGCUUGGUGCGCCUGGCCCGCUACCGUUAGGUAUGUGAGUGCCGGGUCGCGCCUGCCAUCCUUCUAGAGAACGUUUCUACUCUUCAUUGAGCCGGGAACGCAAUCUAGAUCUUUUACUUUGAAAAAAUUAGAGUGUUUCAAGCAGGCUUUAUGCUAUGAAUACAUUAGCAUGGAAUAAUAAUUUAGGACUUCGGUUCUAUUUUGUUGGUUUCUAGGACUGAAGUAAUGAUUGAUAGGGAUAGUUGGGGGUGCUAGUAUUCAGCGGCCAGAGGUGAAAUUCUCGGAUUCGCUGAAGACUAACUUAUGCGAAAGCAUU